UACGGGGGGGGCAAGCGUUGUUCGGAAUUACUGGGCGUAAAGAGUGCGUAGGCGGUUUUCUAAGUUUGGUGUGAAAUCUCCCGGCUCAACUGGGAGGGUGCGCCGAAGACUGGAAGGCUUGAGUAUGGGAGAGGUAAGCGGAAUUCCUGGUGUAGCGGUGAAAUGCGUAGAUAUCAGGAGGAACACCUGCGGUGUAGACGGCUUACUGGACCAUAACUGACGCUGAGGCACGAAAGCGUGGGGAGCAAACAGG
rnacentral:rRNA from 1 species